GAAAUAAUCUUUUGUCAGGCCAUGCAUUUUUGUGUUAUUAUUGCGAUCAAGAGAGGGCGUCAGACAAGACCUAUAAAAAGUAUCCGUAUCUGGGCAGACCCGCCGAGGUCGCCAGGGUCAUACGCUAGACAAUAAAUGAUUACAAUGUAUACAUUUGGAGGCGCGGGAAAAGAGUACGCGCAACAGGAAAAAUGAGUGGCAGAAUGAUAUGUGGAAACAUGAGGGAAGUUUCGGCAUGAUUUUCGGUGGACAGAAGCAAAAUAAAUCAGCUCGACAAGUAAAUCACAUAGAAGAGUCAGUGUGUAUGUUUUCGUUCCAGUUUUAUUGAAGCCUAUACCCCUUUGCUUCACGGCAAAAUAACACUACAAAUUGGUAACACGGAUGGGGUGUGGGUAACGUGUUUGAAACGUGAACUGGACGACGACAAAAACAGAAUUUUGAAGCGUAUCGUCGAGAGAUUUUGCCUGGGCUGCUGCUUAGCUAGCUUCAAGACGGGACGAAAUACGGCGAACGGUUUUAGAUUUCGUCGAUCCAUGCAUGCAACCGAGACCUGAGCUGCAGGCCUUCCCAAUCGAGCCUAUCUUGCUGAAAAGCGGACUGUCUGAGAAGUCCGCUGUGCCGUGACAGCUGCCGUUUGAUCCGCUGCGGAGUGCACCGAGACCCGUGGGCAGCGGACGUACGGUCUUCGCUGCGAGGAGACGGGGUCCGCAACUACACAAACGCCUUCGCUGGACGUUGAAUUAUUGCACUUCGAACAACGGGGGUGUUGGUGUGACGGAUAGCACUAUUUGGAUGACAGAGGCGUGAAGCUUGAUGUUCGAGACUCGCUUGGACUGGGCCUACUGGUGUGGGGAGCUCGAGAGGGCAACAGUCAAGUCGGCUACACCUGGACUGGAGUGACGGUUCAACGCUGCGGUGGAUGAACUGAGGAUUGACAAGUCUCCGGCCUGGAUCGACUGGUGAAACAGCUCAUGGUGUGUGGAAAGCCUUGUUGCUACUUCGAAGGAAGGUUUGGGGAAUCCAGUUUCCUGUAGUGACAACUUGGCUAGCCAACAUCUCCAGUAAUUAUGGGAGGUUUUGUACUUUUUGGUCACAGUUUCGUAAAGAGAAUGAGGAACAGACAUGGUUUUGCAUAUGAGGUAGAACUGCAGAGAAGCAAAAUCCCUAUCGCAUGUAUUGGCGAAGGUGGGUUGACUUUUGACCGGGUCCUGUGUAACCAAGGCCGUUAUUUCCGACAGUUACAGAAAUUGCAACCCACAGUAUUAAUUAUUGAUUUGGGAACAAACGACCUGUGUUCGGUUGAGGGAACCCCUAGCCAGGUUCACACCUCACUUUGUAAUAUGGUGUCUGCUCUUCAUAAGUGGGACGUAUACCCCGAUACUUUGGUGUUUUUACCAGUUUUGCCACGAACCGGGGGGUUGAGAAGCUACCAAGUGUCAUUGCAGACAUUUAAUAGGAGAGUCAAAGAUUUCAAUGAGCUGUUGGAAAAGUCCACGUUCCUUGAAGAUCGAUGGUGGGUUUGGCGCCAUCGGGGUCUCAAGAACCCGCGUUUUAGUUUAGAUGGGGUGCAUCUUAAUUCGGAAGGAAUGCUGCAGUAUGAGAGGACACUACGAAAGUUACUUAAGUUUUUCGACUCUCGUAUCUGGUUUUAGCUUCAUGGACAAGAUCAUUAAGCUACAUUUGUAACUGAUUAGAGUAUUCAUACAUGUAAAUUCAAAAGAGGAGUUGUAUCAUGUAACAGAGUAUAAUGUGUAUAGAGUUUAUCGAGAUUUUGGGCCAAUCAUUGUAACUUUUAAAUAACUGUUAUUUGAGGAUAUAGAAGACAGCCUGAAUGGAUACAUAGCAGUACACGUAUUCAUUUUUAUCAAUUGUUAUUCAAGCUUGUUGUAUUUCCAGUUUUUCCUUGUUUAUAAUAAGUAUGUGUAGUAAGGCAAAUAAUGUAUGCUGUAAAGAAACGACAUUUUGAUUUUGUUUGAUCCUGUGAAAGCAUUACUUUUAACCUUGAUCUCCAGGAGUAGAUCACCCAAGUAGGGGAGUUUGUAGCGAAAUAAUCUUUUGUCAGGCCAUGCAUUUUUGUGUUAUUAUUGCGAUCAAGAGAGGGCGUCAGACAAGACCUAUAAAAAGUAUCCGUAUCUGGGCAGACCCGCCGAGGUCGCCAGGGUCAUACGCUAGACAAUAAAUGAUUACAAUGUAUACAUUUGGAGGCGCGGGAAAAGAGUACGCGCAACAGGAAAAAUGAGUGGCAGAAUGAUAUGUGGAAACAUGAGGGAAGUUUCGGCAUGAUUUUCGGUGGACAGAAGCAAAAUAAAUCAGCUCGACAAGUAAAUCACA